CCCGACACCCAACACAGCACCCUGCGAUCCCACCCGGAUCCGGAGCGGGACCCCGACAGCUCCGGGUCCGAGUGGCGUGAAACCUCUCCGUGCGCCCUGUCUGCUGUCUCCAACGCAGGGAUCGCGCCGGGAGGAAGAGGCGCCGGCGAAACAGCCAGGCGGCUGCUCCUAGGACCUGGUGGGCGCGUGCCCUGCGGGGGUCCCGCCGGCGGAGGCGCGGGGGCGGGGGCGUGCAGGGGCGGCCUGCACCCCUCAGAUGGUUUGGGUCCGGGGUGGGGACGCCAGGGCGUCCGCGCCAGAGCCAGCCGGUUGAGUUCACUCGGUGCCUGCUCCGCCCGCGCGAUCCGUGGGUUGCGCACGGAACGCACCGGCCAAGGGCUCCCAGGCACGCGAACGGCGACGGGCCACGGCGCGCCGUCAGGGUGGCCGAGCGGUCUAAGGCGCUGCGUUCAGGUCGCAGUCUCCCCUGGAGGCGUGGGUUCGAAUCCCACUCCUGACAAGCGGAUCUUUUGGUCCGCCCACCCGCCGGAAGGCAACGCCCACCGCCACCCCGGACCACCUUGCCUCGGUUCCCGCCUUGAGCCCUCGCCCAUGCUUCAAAACGCCAGUCUCCAAGCAAGCCUCAGAAGCACAGCCGCUUCUCAGGCACGUCCGUUCUUCCUGCCUGCCCACCCACCCACCGGCAGUCACAGAAAUAGCCCAGGACUGUGCGCCAGCGCUCCCGACCCUCUACCAAUUGCCCUUCAGGCAGACGCACUCCCCACCGCCUCACGCGCCCUCUUACCUGGCCCAAACACACCAAGGGACUGCGAACACCUUCCUGGCACUUCCCUGACUGUCUCCUCCGUCGGCCUUCUCCUCACUCGCCCUAACAGACACAGCCCUGAUAAUCUCGCCUUCCUCCUUUUCCCUCCUUCCUCCCACCGCCCAGCGCCCAGGGUCCACCACCCACCGCUUACCUCCCUCGGCCCACCGCCUGGAAUCGCCGCUGCGCUACCCACAGGCGUCCGGAGUGCACGGUCUGCCCGUUUGCACCCUCCAUCUUCUGCCCGCUGA
rnacentral:tRNA from 1 species